AGGACGCGAUUAGGUGUAAACGUUUG
rnacentral:sRNA from 1 species